rnacentral:rRNA from 1 species
CCUACGGGAGGCAGCAGUGAGGAAUAUUGGUCAAUGGGCGGGAGCCUGAACCAGCCAAGUCGCGUGAGGGAAGAAGGUACUGAGUAUUGUAAACCUCUUUUGCCAGGGGACAAAGGCGGCCACGGGUGGCCGUAAGAGGGUACCUGGAGAAAAAGCAUCGGCUAACUCCGUGCCAGCAGCCGCGGUAAUACGGAGGAUGAGAGCGUUAUCCGGAUUUAUUGGGUUAAAGGGGUGCGCAGGGUGCGUGUCAAGUGAGCGGAAAAAUGUCGGGGCUCAACCCCGGCCGGCCGUUGAAACUGGGGGGCUCGAGUUGGAGAGAAGUAUGUGGAAUUCGUGGUGUAGCGGUGAAAUGCGUAGAUAUCAGGAAGAACCCCGAUUGCGAAGGCAGCAAACCGGCUCCACACUGACGCUGAGGCACGAAAGCGUGGGUAUCGAACAGGAUUAGAUACCCGGGUAGUC